GAGCUUGGGUCCUGGGAGAGGAGCAAGGUUCAGGCCAUGCUGUCACUGGGAGAUGACAACUUCAUUCCCCAGCAACCGCAAUGCUUGGCAGAUGAUGGCAAUGCUGGGAGCCAAUGGGACAUGCAUGGACAAACCAUGCAGAAAGCCACGUGUGCUCAGGUGAAGGUGCCGCCUGAAUUCCCCAGCCAGCCCCACAUUCCCAGCCAGCCUCCCUUUUGG
rnacentral:lncRNA from 1 species